rnacentral:rRNA from 1 species
UCCUGACUGACCGAUAGUGAACCAGUACCGUGAGGGAAAGGCGAAAAGAACCCCGGCGAGGGGAGUGAAAAAGAACCUGAAACCGUGUACGUACAAGCAGUGGGAGCACGCUUAGGCGUGUGACUGCGUACCUUUUGUAUAAUGGGUCAGCGACUUAUAUUCUGUAGCAAGGUUAACCGAAUAGGGGAGCCGAAGGGAAACCGAGUCUUAACUGGGCGUUAAGUUGCAGGGUAUAGACCCGAAACCCGGUGAUCUAGCCAUGGGCAGGUUGAAGGUUGGGUAACACUAACUGGAGGACCGAACCGACUAAUGUUGAAAAAUUAGCGGAUGACUUGUGGCUGGGGGUGAAAGGCCAAUCAAACCGGGAGAUAGCUGGUUCUCCCCGAAAGCUAUUUAGGUAGCGCCUCGUGAAUUCAUCUCCGGGGGUAGAGCACUGUUUCGGCAAGGGGGUCAUCCCGACUUACCAACCCGAUGCAAACUGCGAAUACCGGAGAAUGUUAUCACGGGAGACACACGGCGGGUGCUAACGUCCGUCGUGAAGAGGG